rnacentral:rRNA from 1 species
UACGUAGGUGGCAAGCGUUGUCCGGAUUUACUGGGUGUAAAGGGCGUGUAGGCGGGAGAGCAAGUCAGAAGUGAAAUCUAUGGGCUUAACCCAUAAACUGCUUUUGAAACUGUUCUUCUUGAGUAUCGGAGAGGCAGGCGGAAUUCCUAGUGUAGCGGUGAAAUGCGUAGAUAUUAGGAGGAACACCAGUGGCGUAGGCGGCCUGCUGGACGACAACUGACGCUGAGGCGCGAAAGCGUGGGGAGCAAACAGG